UCUCUGUUAGUAUAUCGGUUAGUACACGCGCUUGUCACCGAGCACUAGCCGCGCGAAAGCGGGGUUCGACUCCCCGACAGAGAG